AUUGAGCGCUGGCGGCAUGCCUUACACAUGCAAGUCGAACGGCAGCACGGGGCAACCUGGUGGCGAGUGGCGAACGGGUGAGUAAUGCAUCGGAACGUACCUUUCAGUGGGGGAUAACGUAGCGAAAGUUACGCUAAUACCGCAUAUUCCGUGAGCAGGAAAGCAGGGGAUCGCAAGACCUUGCGCUGAUUGAGCGGCCGAUGUCAGAUUAGCUAGUUGGUGAGGUAAAGGCUCACCAAGGCGACGAUCUGUGGCGGGUCUGAGAGGAUGAUCCGCCACACUGUAACGGAGACACGGUCCAGACUCCUACGGGAGGCAGCAGUGGGGAAUUUUGGACAAUGGGGGCAACCCUGAUCCGGCCAUGCCGCGUGAGUGAAGAAGGCCUUCGGGUUGUAAGGCUCUUUCGGCCGGGAAGAAAUCGCACGGGCUAAUACCCUGUGUGGAUGACGGUACCGGAAUAAGAAGCACCGGCUAACUACGUGCCAGCCGCCGCCGUAAUAC
rnacentral:rRNA from 1 species